rnacentral:rRNA from 1 species
CCGGAGUCACUGGGCGUAAAGCGCGCGUAGGCGGCCUGUUAAGUUGGAUGUGAAAGCCCGGGGCUCAACUCCGGAUGUGCAUCCGAGACUGGCAGGCUAGAGUCCGAGAGAGGGCGGCGGAAUUCCCAGUGUAGAGGUGAAAUUCGUAGAUAUUGGGAAGAACACCGGUGGCGAAGGCGGCCGCCUGGCUCGGAACUGACGCUGAGGCGCGAAAGCGUGGGGAGCAAACAGG